GACAUGCACUGAGAACCUAGUUUAUUAGUAUCCAAUAUGAUUUUGCAUUCAACUGAUAGGUGUGCCUCUGCAGCAAUAGUUUGGCGCUUAUUGGGGUGAUCGUAUGAAGCUUGCAAACUAGAACAAUAACGCCAAAUAUCUGCUUGACCCUACGUUGCUCGUUUUGUCCCAUGUCAGAACGCCUGCAGUUGUUUUUUCUCGAUAGAUCACAAAGCUGACCGUUUGUUCCGCUAUCAUCGUCCCAAUGUUAUCUAGUAGCCCUACAUGGUCACUUGCGUAAGAACGCUUGUAAUACCGCGAUCAGAUUAUGUCAGUGGCAGGAUCGUGUUUGUCAGGUAAUGAGGAGUAUGAAAGUUCAAGAGUGGGAUCGGGAAGUAGCGGAUAGAGGUUACGGCGAAAUGAAGUCCAGCCAUAAGUUCCGAACUCGACACUGGGCUCGCAUUGAAUAUGCUUCAAAUUGGUGAUGUCCGGUCAUACGUAAAAUAGUAUAUAUGCGCGCGAAUGACUUGAACUACCUAGAUGUGGCCUCAGACAUCACGUUCAAGAUACAACACUUCUCAGAAGGAAAUUUUACCCUGUCUGCCAGCAGAGAAGUCUAUGUUCUCAUCUAUCGACCGAGGCCCGAAUUUUCGCGCCGUCAUCACCCCUGGAAUAGUACACUUCUGGGCCGGGAAGUUGGAUGCUGUUGGUUUGCGCAAAACAAACCCCAGUUUAGU